rnacentral:rRNA from 1 species
AAUUUUGGACAAUGGGGGAAACCCUGAUCCAGCCAUCCCGUGCGUAUGAUGAAGGCCUUCGGGCUGUAAAGUACUUUUGGCAGAGAAGAAAAGGUACCUCCUAAUACGAGGUACUGUUGUCUGAACCUCCAGAAUAGGCACCGCCUAACUACCUGCCAGCAGCCACGGUAAUACGUAGGGUGCAAGCGUUAAUCGGAAUUACUGGGCGUAAAGCGUGUGUAGGCGGUUCGGAAAGAAAGAUGUGAAAGCCCAGGGCUCAACCUUGGAACUGCAUUUUUAACUGCCGAGCUAGAGUAUGUAAGAGGGGGGUAGAAUUCCACGUGUAGCAGUGAAAUGCGUAGAUAUGUGGAGGAAUACCGAUGGCGAAGGCAGCCCCCUGGGAUAAUACUGACGCUCAGACACGAAAGCGUGGGGAGCAAACA